ACCUAUUUGUUGCCUCGGCGGUGCCUGUUCCGACAGCCCGCCAGAGGACCCCAAACCCUGAUUACAUUUAAGAAGUCUUCUGAGUAAACCGAUUAAAUAAAUCAAAACUUUCAACAACGGAUCUCUUGGUUCUGGCAUCGAUGAAGAACGCAGCGAAAUGCGAUAAGUAAUGUGAAUUGCAGAAUUCAGUGAAUCAUCGAAUCUUUGAACGCACAUUGCGCCCGCUAGUAUUCUGGCGGGCAUGCCUGUCCGAGCGUCAUUUCAACCCUCAAGCCCCCGGGCUUGGUGUUGGGGAUCGGCGAGCCUCCGCGCCCGCCGUCCCCUAAAUCUAGUGGCGGUCUCGCUGUAGCUUCCUCUGCGUAGUAGCACACCUCGCACUGGGAAACAGCGCGGCCACGCCGUUAAACCCCCAACUUCUGAACGUUUGACCUCGGAUCAGGUAGGAAUACCCGCUGAACUUAAGCAUAUCAAUAAGCGGAGGA
rnacentral:rRNA from 1 species